rnacentral:rRNA from 1 species
CUCACCCAGUCCAGACAGCGUAAGGAUUGACAGGUUGAUUGUUCUUUCUUGAUUCUCUGGGUAGUGGUGCAUGGCCGUUCUUAGUUGGUGGAGUGAUUUGUCUGGUUAAUUCCGUUAACGAACGAGACCUUAACCUGCUAUUUAGUCGCUCGGUCUUUGUCCGUGCGCACUUCAUAGAGGGACUCUGGUGCGUCAAGCUGCGGUGAGGUUUAAGGCAAUAACAGGUCUGUGAUGCCCUUAGAUGUCCUGGGCUGCACGCGCGCUACACUGAUGCUUGCCUCGUGUUUGCCCUCGGCCGAUAGGCCUUGGUAACCCCUAGUGUGCAUCGUGUUUGGGAUUGAUCUUUGCAAUUCUAGAUCAUGAACGAGGAAUGCCUAGUAUGCGCAAGUCAUCAGCUUGUGCAGAUUACGUCCCUGCCCUUUGUACACCACCCCCGUCGCUCCUACCGAUCGAGUGAUUCAGUGAAUUAAUCUCAACCAGCCUUCUCCAAUCCUCCCUUCUUUCCUGCCAAAUUUUUUUUAAC